rnacentral:rRNA from 1 species
UACGUAGGGUGCAAGCGUUGUUCGGAUUUACUGGGCGUAAAGGGCGCGUAGGCGGUCAGCACAAGUCAGUUGUGAAAUCUCCGGGCUUAACUCGGAAAGGUCAACUGAUACUGUGCGACUAGAGUGCGGAAGGGGCAACUGGAAUCUCGGUGUAGCGGUGAAAUGCGUAGAUAUCGAGAGGAACACCUGCGGCGAAGGCGGGUUGCUGGGCCGACACUGACGCUGAUGCGCGAAAGCCAGGGGAGCGA